GGAAUAUUCCACAAUGGGCGAAAGCCUGAUGGAGCGACGCCGCGUGAGUGAAGAAGGGCUUCGGCUCGUAAAGCUCUUUUCUUGAGGACGAAUGACCUGUUAGACAGGUAGAGACGGUACUUAGGGAAUAAGCCACGGCUAACUACGUGCCAGCAGCCGCGGUAAUACGUAGGUGGCAAGCGUUGUCCGGAAUUAUUGGGCGUAAAGGGAGCGCAGGCGGGUUUGCAAGUCCAAAUUAAAAGUGCAGGAGUAAUGCCUGUGAUGGUUUGGAAACUGCAAAUGUUGAGAGCAGGAGAGGCAAGCGGAAUUGCCGGUGUAGCGGUGAAAUGCGUAGAUAUCGGGAGGAACACCAGUGGCGAAGGCGGCUUGCUGGACUGAAUCUGACGCUGAGGCUCGAAAGCCAGGGUAGCGAACG
rnacentral:rRNA from 1 species